CAAAAUAUAGCUUAAUAAAAGCCCCUCGCUUACACCGAGAUUACAUCUGUUGAACUCAGAUUAUUUUGAA
rnacentral:tRNA from 1 species